GACGAACGCUGGCGGCGUGCUUAACACAUGCAAGUCGAACGGAAAGGCCCUGCUUUUGUGGGGUGCUCGAGUGGCGAACGGGUGAGUAACACGUGUGUAACCUGUCCUUGUCUUUGGGAUAACUUCAGGAAACUGGGGCUAAUACCGGAUAGGAGCUCCUGCUGCAUGGUGGGGGUUGGUAAGUUUCGGCGGUUGGGGAUGGACUGGCGGCUUAUCCGCUUGUUGGUGGGGUAGUGGCUUACCAAGGCUUUGACGGGUAGCCGGCCUGCGAGGUUGACCGGCGACAUGGGGACUGAGAGACGGCGCAGACGCCAACGGGAGGCAGCAGUGGGGAAUAUGGCACAAUGGGCCGAAGCCUGAUGCAGCAGCGCCGCGUGCGGAAUGACGGGCUUCGGGUUGAAAACCGCUGUCGCCGGUGACGAAGCGUUAGUGACGGUAAUGGAUAAAGAAGCACCGGCUAACUACGUG
rnacentral:rRNA from 1 species